UGCGCAGGCGGUUCGUUAAGUCUGAUGUGAAAGCCCCGGGCUCAACCUGGGAAUGGCAUUGGAAACUGGCGGGCUUGAGUGUGGCAGAGGGGGGUGGAAUUCCGCGUGUAGCAGUGAAAUGCGUAGAGAUGCGGAGGAACACCGAUGGCGAAGGCAGCCCCCUGGGCUAACACUGACGCUCAGGCACGAAAGCGUGGGGAGCAAACAGGAUUAGAUACCCUGGUAGUCC
rnacentral:rRNA from 1 species